rnacentral:rRNA from 1 species
UACGUAGGGUGCAAGCGUUGUCCGGAAUUAUUGGGCGUAAAGAGCGUGUAGGCGGCCAGACAGGUCCGUUGUGAAAACUAGAGGCUUAACCUCUAGACGUCGAUGGAAACCGUCUGGCUAGAGUCCGGAAGAGGAGAAUGGAAUUCCUGGUGUAGCGGUGAAAUGCGUAGAUAUCGAGAGGAACACCUGCGGCGAAGGCGGGUAGCUGGGCCGACACUGACGCUGAUGCGCGAAAGCCAGGGGAGCGAACGGG